AAACCAGCACCUCAAGUGGUCAGGAUGAUUAUUGGGCCUAAAGCAUCCGUAGCCGGCUCUGUAAGUUUUCGGUUAAAUCUGUACGCUCAACGUACAGGCUGCCGGGAAUACUGCAGAGCUAGGGAGUGGGAGAGGUAGACGGUACUCGGGAGGAAGUGGUAAAAUGCUUUGAUCUUUCGAUGACCACCUGUGGCGAAGGCGGUCUACCAGAACACGUCCGACGGUGAGGGAUGAAAGCUGGGGGAGCAAACCGGAUUAGAAACCCCUGUAGUCC
rnacentral:rRNA from 1 species